GACAGAGGGUGCAAACGUUGUUCGGAAUUACUGGGCGUAAAGCGCGUGUAGGCGGCUAAGUAAGUCGGGCGUGAAAUCCCACGGCUCAACCGUGGAAGUGCACUCGAAACUGCAUAGCUAGAGUCCUGGAGAGGAAGGUGGAAUGCUUGGUGUAGAGGUGAAAUUCGUAGAUAUCAAGCGGAACACCGGUGGCGAAGGCGGCCUGCUGGGCAGUAGCUGACGCUGAGGCGCGACAGCGUGGGGAGCAAACAGG
rnacentral:rRNA from 1 species